AUCAGGCUAACGAGUCCCAAACAGGACGAAACACGCGUCCUGGAU
rfam:Schistosoma mansoni strain Puerto Rico chromosome 6, complete genome